GCGCGAAACCUUCACAAUGCACGAAAGUGUGAUGAGGGUACUCCGAGUGCGCAUACAUUGUAUGUGCUUUUCUGCAGCGUAAAUAGUUGCAGGAAUAAGGGCUGGGCAAGACCGGUGCCAGCCGCCGCGGUAACACCGGCAGCCCUAGUGGUGGUCGCUUUUAUUGGGCCUAAAGCGUCCGUAGCCGGAUAGGCAAGUCUUUGGGUAAAUCCUACGUCUUAAGCGUGGGAAUUCUAAAGAUACUACCUGUCUUGGGGCCGGGAGAGGCUAGAGGUACUCCUGGGGUAGGGGUAAAAUCCUAUAAUCCUGGGGGGACCACCGAUGGCGAAGGCAUCUAGCUGGAACGGGCCUGACGGUGAGGGACGAAACCCAGGGGAGCGAGCCGGAUUAGAUACCCGGGUAGUCCUGGGCGUAAAUGAUGUGGGCUUGGUGUGAGCGCAUCGACGAGGUGCGUUUGUGCCGUAGGGAAGCCGUUAAGCCCACCGCCUGGGGAGUACGGUCGCAAGGCUGAAACU
rnacentral:rRNA from 1 species